UGAAUACGAGAUGCUACGGCGUCGAAGCAGUGUAUGUCAGACUUCCAAGAAAAGCUCGCAAUGUCAUAAAUAAAGAAUGCCUGUACCAUAACCGACACAGGUGGGUAGGUAGAGUAUACUAAGGGGCGCGAGAUAACUCUCUCUAAGGAACUCGGCAAAAUAACUCCGUAACUUCGGGAGAAGGAGUGCCUUCUUUAAGAAGGUUGCAAUAACAAGAUCCAAGCAACUGUUUAUCAAAAACACAGGUCUCCGCUAAGUCGUAAGACGAUGUAUGGGGGCUGACGCCUGCCCAGUGCCAGAAGGUUAAAGAAGUUGGUUAGCUUUUGCGAAGCUGAUGACUGAAGCCCUGGUGAACGGCGGCCGUAACUAUAACGGUCCUAAGGUAGCGAAAUUCCUUGUCGGGUAAGUUCCGACCCGCACGAAAGGCGUAAUGAUUUGGAUACUGUCUCGGAGAGGGACUCGGUGAAAUAGACUUGUCUGUGAAGAUGCGGACUACCUGCACCAGGACAGAAAGACCCUAUGAAGCUUUACUGUAACUUGAAAUUGAAAUUGGACUUUAUUUGCGCAGUAUAGGUGGAAGGCGUUGAAAGUAAUCUUGCGGGAUUAGUGGAGCCAUCAGUGAGAUACCACUCCUAUAAUGUUAGAUUUCUAACUUUGGAUCAUGAUCUGGUCAAAGAACAGUUUCAGGCGGGCAGUUUGACUGGGGCGGUCGCCUCCCAAAUGGUAACGGAGGCGUACAAAGGUUUCCUCUGAACGGGUAGAAAUCGUAUCUAGAGUGUAAAGGCAUAAGGAAGCUUGACUGUGAGACCUACAAGUCGAGCAGGGACGAAAGUCGGUCUUAGUGAUCUGACGGUGCUGAGUGGAAAGGCCGUCACUCAACGGAUAAAAGUUACUCUAAGGAUAACAGGCUGAUCUCCCCCAAGAGUUCACAUCGACGGGGAGGUUUGGCACCUCGAUGUCGGCUCAUCGCAUCCUGGGGCGGUAGUACGUCCCAAGGGUUGGGCUGUUCGCCCAUGAAAGCGGUACGCGAGCUGGGUUCAGAACGUCGUGAGACAGUUCGGUCCAUAUCCGGUGUAGGCGUUAGAAUAUUGAGAGGAGCCUUCUUUAGUACGAGAGGACCGAGAAGGACAUACCUCUGGUGUACCAGUUAUCGUGCCAACGGUAAACGCUGGGUAGCUAUGUAUGGAGAGGAUAACCGCUGAAAGCAUCUAAGUGGGAAGCCCACCUCAAGAUGAG
rnacentral:rRNA from 1 species